ACUCAAAGGAAUUGACGGGGGCCCGCACAAGCAGCGGAGCGUGUGGUUUAAUUCGAUGCAACGCGAAGAACCUUACCCAGGCUUGACAUGCACCUGGUACCGAGGCGAAAGCUGAGGGACCCGCAAGGGAGGGUGCACAGGUGCUGCAUGGCUGUCGUCAGCUCGUGCCGUGAGGUGUUGGGUUAAGUCCCGCAACGAGCGCAACCCUCGCUGCCAGUUACCCUUCUGGCGGGACCGCCGGGAUCAACCCGGAGGAAGGUGGGGAUGACGUCAAGUCAGCACGGCCCUUACGUCUGGGGCGACACACACGCUACAAUGGCCGGGGCAACGGGAGGCCAAGGGGUGACCCGGAGCCAAUCCCAGCAAGCCCGGUCUCAGUGGGGAUUGGGGGCUGCAACUCGCCCCCAUGAACGCGGAGUUGCUAGUAACCGCCGGUCAGCACACGGCGGUGAAUACGUUCCCGGGCCUUGUACACACCGCCCGU
rnacentral:rRNA from 1 species